rnacentral:rRNA from 1 species
GAAUUUUGGGCAAUGGGCGAAAGCCUGACCCAGCAACGCCGCGUGCAGGAUGAAGGCCCUCGGGUCGUAAACUGCUGUCGGGAGGGAAGAACAGCAGCGGGAGGAAAUGACCGCUGCCUGACGGUACCUCCAAAGGACACGCCGGCUAACCCCGUGCCACCAGCCGCGGUAAUACGGAGGGCGCAAGCGUUGUUCGGAAUUACUGGGCGUAAAGCGCGUGUAGGCGGUCUGGCAAGUCGGUCGUGAAAUCCCCGGGCUCAACCCGGGAACUGCGUCCGAAACUGCUGGGCUAGAGUUCCGGAGAGGAAGGCAGAAUUCCCAAUGUAGGGGUGAAAUCCGUAGAUAUUGGGAGGAAUACCAGUGGCGAAGGCGGCCUUCUGGACGGUGACUGACGCUGAGACGCGAAAGCGUGGGGAGCAAACAGG